AGCAGCCGCCACGGGAAUACGUAGGGUGCAAGCGUUAAUCGGAAUUACUGGGCGUAAAGCGUGCGCAGGCGGUUAUAUAAGACAGAUGUGAAAUCCCCGGGCUCAACCUGGGAACUGCAUUUGUGACUGUAUAGCUAGAGUACGGCAGAGGGGGAUGGAAUUCCGCGUGUAGCAGUGAAAUGCGUAGAUAUGCGGAGGAACACCGAUGGCGAAGGCAAUCCCCUGGGCCUGUACUGACGCUCAUGCACGAAAGCGUGGGGAGCAAACAGGAUUAGAUACCCCCGUAGUCCCUGUCUCUUAUAA
rnacentral:rRNA from 1 species